rnacentral:lncRNA from 1 species
CCGCCAUCUCCCAUGCUAAGCCUUAACGGUCUGAUAUGAGUCUCACGUCUCCAGGCAAUACUGACAUGGCCUCACACAGCUUCUCCAGGACUUGUAUACAGUAAAACUUCGUAGCAGUAAGUGGUCCUCCAUGGCACCAGAGCUGCCUCAGGUUGCCAGAACCCUCCUAUUCCACAACAAACUGAACUGAAACACCAUGGAAUAUUCCACUCGGAACCCAAACCAGCACCUGGCAACCAGGUGAGAAAAUCAGUGGGGUGACUGUGGGGGAGGAUAGACAGUGCUUCCCAAAUGUCUUCAUGUCAUAUCACACAGAAGGUGGCUGCUCUUGGCCAGAGGACACUGGUCACUAGGAGUGUGUCUAUCCUAGCUCCUGCUCAGCAAGCACAAAGUCUGAGAGAUAGAUGUUUUUAAGUACGUGUGCUAUUUGAGGACCACUGACAAAGACUCUCAAAAAAAUAAUGUAAGUGACUCAAAUAAAGCUUAAAGGCUUUAUUCAGCUGAUGCACAUCAGGGACCACUUGAAUACCAGAAGACUCCCUGAUUGACACAGAGUCAGAGUUUUUACAGGAUAGAGAAAGUUGACUAUGUAUCCUUGUGUUUUUGGCUUAUGUAGCAGUUUUCUACCUUAACCCAAAAUUGCUGUUGACAGUUAUUUCUGGUUCCAUGCCUCCUUCAUGCUAAUCACCAUCAGAAUGAUAUUUUCUGAGAACUGUGUUUGCAAGCAUUGAGGUUCAUCGGCUAGUCGAAGUUCAUGAGUGGGGGAGCUCUCAAGUGUGGUUGUAGAAGAAUGAAGAGUCUCAUUCUUGCUAUCAGUAACUCAUCAACUUGAAUUUCAAAUGCAACAAUUCAAGGAGAAACAAAUGGAAUUUGAAAGUCUUCAAAUAUCAAGGAUUUAUAGUCAUGCCAUAAUGGUCCCCAUCUCCAUACUCAGUCACUGAUCUUCAUGUUGCUCCAUUCUCAAGCAUAAUACAAAAACUGCUAUUUCCUGGCAGACUAAGGGCAUAGAAUAUCAUAACUAGUCAAAUAUUCAGUUAACAAUGAGUUACCAUAACUAGAAUCACCAUCUCGUUUUUGUCUGCUUGUAAAUAUCCAUUAGGAGAAUUGCUCCUGACUAAGGAACCUUGAUCACAUGGCUGGUCAUGUGACCCAAACCCCUAAUUGGAACUUUGUUAUCUGUCCAUGAUUUUCCUGAAAGAUGCUGUUUUCCCUCUGCCCACCUCCUCUUCUCUCCCAUUGCAGCUGGGUCCAUGCCAAUACAGAAGUUAAGGUGUGUGUGUUAAGGGUGGAAGUGAGUAGCUGGGCUGAGAAGCUGGUAUCUAUCUAAAGGCUUCUAUGUCUAAAAUGAACAAAGUAGAUCUCUUACAUCCCUGGUCUGGGUGACUCAUGAUCACUCUUCUGCUGUUACCAAUACUAUCAACUGCUCUUGAUCUUAACGUCUACAGAUCCAAGUCUGCAGGUCAGCAGAAAGGAAAGCCCCCCAUCUUCCUCAAAUCAUUCAAAAUCUUCAGAUCCUGGGGAAGUUUUGCAUUCGAACAUCAGAUAGAAAGAGAAAGUUAAAAGUAUGUUAUAGUAAUAGAUCCUAGUUUUCUGCUGCCUUUGCUCCUGUCAUUGCCACAUUGUAUCACUAUUAGAAAUGAGCAUCAGAAUAAAUGGACAAAAAAAAUCAAUGGAAUAGAACAGAAAGUCCAGAAAUAGACCCAAGUCCAUUUGGAAAUGUCCUUUUAAUAAAAGUGUUAUCUCAAAUUACUGGAACAAAAAUGUAUUUUUUCCUUUUUUCUUUUGAAGAAGAUGAGCCCUGAGCUAACAUCCACAGCCAAUCCUCCUCUUUUUACUGAGGAAGAUUGGCCCUGAGCUAACAUGUGUGCCCAUCUUCCUCUAUUUUAUAUGUGGGAUGCCUG